AUUAUAUGUCCACAUCUGUUUGGAAGGUUUUUUUUAUCGAUUUCUUUGAGGAAUCUUUUUAGCAGUGAAUCAUCAUAAGAGAUAAGCCUUGUCUUCAUUAGUUUUGAAAGUUUUUGACUGAGGAAAUUGAUUCAAAUUAAUUUUGCUGUAGAACUUGUUUUUUGCUUUAAUCAUUUGCUACUGAUAUUGCCAAGAAAUUUUUCCCAUGGGGCUUCAUCUUGUGGAGAAGGCCAAAUUUGAGUUGGGAUGAUACCAUUGACUUCAGAAAAUUCUUCUUUCAAAAUCUUGAUAUUCUUGGAGAUAUGCUACUAUGAGUUUUUGCAAGUUAUAUGAGAGAUGAGCAUAUCUUUGAAUAUCUGCCUGAAAUGUCACCGAUUACUGAUGAGGGAAAACCUGAACUUUUCUAGUGAAGAACAAGAUUGAAAACUGUGAACCUAGGGUCCUCUGGAGUGACAUAUGUUCAAUAGGGGUCUGGGGAAGCUCGACAGCGCAAUAUGGGUUCCAAGGAAUAUCUAGGAGAACCAGACUAGAAGGUGAAGGUAAAUAAGUUAUCACCAAGGGUGUCCGUCUUCAUUCAACGAUGUUGCCAGGUCUUUUUUGGCUUAUCUUUUUGUCGCUGACUAAUUUUAACUUAACCUAUUAUGAAAAUCUAGUAUUGUCCUAUAACAAGUUUUGAAUAUGCAGAAUCCCAAAUUUAGGCAAGGAUAGAACAUAUAUAAAAAAACCAUUUUUAAUAUGCAGAAUCCCAAAUUUAGGCAAGCAUAAAACAUAUAUAAAGAAACCUUAAAUUCAUUUUUCACGAUUAAAACCACGGGUUAAAUCUGUAUAAUGAGAGAAAACCACGUGAAUUCAUUGUUCUUUUGACACUUAUGAACUAUCCCAUAUCGGCCAAUAUUUGGCCAAAUUUUGAUAAACCUUGGUGGAAUAUGCUUAAUUCUGCAAGCAUGCAUUAGACAGUUUGGAAUCUGAUUUUGAAGGGGGAAAAUACUCAAUUGAUGUCCAAAAAGUGUCUGUUUCAGACCCCUAUCUCUGAAAAUGCCAAGAUUGUAAGGUAAGGUGUGAGUAUUCUAGUGAUGCUGGCAAAUCAGCAAAUCAGCUGCCAGUGCCUCUCAAUAUUUGCACCAUAAUAAUGGAAAUGAUUAGAUAGAUGUUGGCUUCCCUCAUCUCCAUUACAGUGAAGUAGAUAACUGUGUAGUUCUCUUUCAUUUGUUAAAAGCUAUCAAGUUUGGCAAUUCAUCUGAAGGUUUCAAGUUGACGGUUUGUUGAUUUAAAAGAAUAGCCAAUAUAGAAGACAUCUACGAACUUUUUGGAGUAAUUGGAUUAAUUGGUUGGCUUUCGUCCUCCUGCUAGUAUAAAUUGCAGAUCAAGGCAGUUCAUUCAUCUUAACGCUGAAAUAUGUUUAGUGGAUAGGACUUCAUCCUUAUAGGCAGCAAGUGGCUCUGGUUUUAGUGGCAUCUUCAUACUGUGCCUGCGGGUUUCGUUGAAUGGAGAAUACAAUUUCUUUUUCUUUU